rnacentral:rRNA from 1 species
UACGUAGGGGGCAAGCGUUGUUCGGAAUUACUGGGCGUAAAGGGCGCGUAGGCGGUACGACAAGUCGGGAGUGAAAGCCCGGGGCUCAACCCUGGAACGGCUCUCGAAACUGUCGAACUUGAGUGCAGAAGAGGCAACUGGAAUUCCCAGUGUAGCGGUGAAAUGCGUAGAUAUUGGGAAGAACACCUGAGGCGAAGGCGGGUUGCUGGGCUGACACUGACGCUGAGGCGCGAAAGCGUGGGGAGCAAACAGG